GGGGCUCUGCCGUCCCGCAGCCUGACAGAGGCCAGGGAAGGGCCACGGACUGCAGCACAAGUCCAGUGAGGAGCGGCUGAGGGAGCUGAGGUGUUUGUCCUGGAGCAAAGGAGGCUCAGGCGUGACCUUAUCACUCUCUACCACUGCCUGAAAGGAGGCUGUGGCCAGUAUCCGUGUGAUGUCACUCAUAUCUUCUCCACAAAGUUGUGUCUUCCUCCUUGAAUUUUUCCACUGCUUUUGCAACAUCUCUGAGGUUUGCCUGUCCAAAGGAGAGGAAGGUCAUUACACAGAUAAUGCUCUGCAGGAACCUGGAACAUGGGUGACUGUUGCCUGCAUCAGUCUUUCUCUUCACUCCAAAGGAGGAAGAUUCAAUAAUGGCACAUUAUGAAUUGGUGAGAGGAAUUAUAAAGUCUCAAUGCAAAUGAAGAUACAGAUGAUUCUGAAACAAAAGAAAUUGCAAUUUCCAUAUGACCUUGUGUUUCAUAUUUAUACUGAAUGUAUUGUUCCAUAUUAUAUACCUACACUGUGUCUUCCUUAACAGUCCUGUCUUCCCAAGUCAGUGUGACUACAAACUCAUAAAACUAAACUUUGCUUGUAGUGUAAAUACAGCAUAUAUUAGGAAUAUGCUUGGCAAAGCAUUGCAGCAAUAUCUGAAGAUGACCAUUUUAUCUCUUGCUAGAUGUAAUGAACAUCAGAUACAAAGUCUCUGUAGUUCAAGGUUUUUCUACACUUAGUUUGUUUCUGAGUACUAAAUGAAAAGAAAAAUGCUUUCUAGCAAAAAUAAUAAAAUAACUGCU